ensembl:lncRNA
GGACAACAGAGAACAUGCUGAGCUGCUUCUCCACUUCAAGAGGCUGCAACCUCAGGACCCCAGGUAGAGAAAAUAUCUGUGAAAGACUGAGAAGAUGGCUGACUCCAUCCAGAUGCCACAGGCCAUGCUGCAGCAGCCACAUGACUGUCACAGACACCCCAGGGAUAGUCUCCCCAGGAGUGACCACCAGUGACCUACCAAAAUCAAGUGUCAUUUUUAUGCCAAGGAUUUGAAAGAUGGCCCAUUUCAUGAGAAAUAUUACUUUUCAAAGCUUGUAGUCAUGUAUUGUCUUUUCUUCAUAUAAUUUAGUUUGAAACUAAUGAAAACAUCAAAG